rnacentral:rRNA from 1 species
GACGCUCUCCCCAAGGACGAAGCCAUGCAUGCCCGCUCACCCGGGACGCGGCGGACGGCUCAGGACGACGGUUGCACCCCCCGCGGCGGUCCCUGCUAGCCGGACACCGCUGGCAACCCGGCGCCAAGACGUGCGCGCAAGGGCGGGCGCCCGCGGGCGAGCAGCGUGACGCAGMGACGGCCCGCCCGGGCUUCCGGGGCAUCAUCCGGUC